ensembl:lncRNA
UGAAGAAGAUGUGUAUGGAUUCUAUGCUUCUUUGUACCUCGGCACUUCAGCUGGCAGGUCCCUCACUCUGGUUCUGCUUUCCAGGGGUAUUGCCUAUAGGAGAUUAAAACUUGCCUCCAGAGUCUCACUGGAAUUCUUGAACCCAAUGUUUCUUCUCUUGCUUUGUUACUGUUUCUUGUUCCUGUCAACUCUCAUUGUGAAUGCAUUAAACAGAAAGUUGCUCUCAAAUUCUGAAACUCCUUGUACAAUUAGCAUAGAGACAUGAUUUUAUUCAUGCAAUUACAUUUCUACAGGUCCAAAAUCUCCAUAGUGCCAUAUGGUCUGGUAUACCAAACAUUUAAUGUAAAACACUAUCCCCUGAUAUCCAGCCUUCCGGUUUCUUUCUAAGCAGUAUGAUAGCAUUCUCAGUAUUUCAAAAAGACUUCUGCUUCAGAGGCUGUUUUCUGAAGUUGCAUGAAAUUUUGUGUCUUUGAUAUCUCCCUCCUUGCUUCUUGUAUAAACACUUUAAUGCUAACUCAACUGUUCUUUCCGUAAAGCUUUCCAGCCUAAGAAAGUACAGUGGAUAUCCCUAAGGUAUCCAGGGUUUUUUCAAGACAUCUGUUGUUUUAUUUUCCUUCAGAGAGCCUUUGGCUGUAGUUAGAGAUGUGGGACAGUUAAACACUUUGCAUAAGUACAUGCAAAUACUUCCUGUCAUAAAAUCAAGAAAGAUGUUCUAAACCCUGGAAACAUUACCCAAAUGAUCAUGACAUUAGCAAUUAAUAAUUGUAUGUUCCAUGCAAAAAUACUUAAAAACCUCUAAACUACACUGGACAGCUGAUAUGACAGAAUUGUUGCAUAAAAACAAAAGCCAAACAGAUAGACACUUCUGUACUUUUGUAUUGUCUCAACUACAAUGUCCAGACUAUGGAAUCUGAUUCACUGAAAUUUGAUAGACUAUUCUGGUUUAUGAUUUGUGAAAAGCGUGCUUGUACCCUUUCCCUCCCCAUUUGCUGCAUACUUUUCAAUUUUACAAUCCUUUCUUUGUUUUUGCAAAUGUCAUUUGUCAGUGUGUUCACCAGACUUGGAGUAGACUGAAUGAUAUUAAGCAGCAUCACUUAGAGCUGAAAGUGUUCUCUGGCUUUAAUAUGCCUGGUGGUUAGUGAAUAUGUAACACCUACCUCACACCACUGGGUGGGCUGCUUCUUGUGCCAUUGCUGCUCAGUCAGUCAACCUGCAGAGAGUAAUCAAGGGAAGUGAAGAUUCUUCCCUUCCCACCUCUGCAAUGAGAGAUGGCAAUCCUUCCUAGAUAUGGCAGGCUGGAAGAUAUUGGAUCAUAAAAUCAUGACACUGGAAAGCAAUCCAGUGCUGUCUUCCAGUUAAUAACCACACUUGUGUUUACAAGACAACUGCUUUUACAAAACUGAAGAUCAUCAGAUGGGAACACUAACAACUUCAAUUUUAAAGUCCACUUCUGACCUAACAAGAAGCGUGGGAUACUUCAUUACAGAGGAUAUUCUACUGAAAUAUGAAACACACAUGAAAUCAUGAGCACUUAAGGAAAGAGCUUUGUGGCCACAGCUAUCAUAUGAUAUUAAAACUGCAGCAUGACAGUAGUUGUUGUAAAUAAAUACAUAUUACAACAAGUAAAAAAAAGUGCAAUUACAAUUUCACAAUAUUUAUUUCUGCGAUCAAAUUUACAUACGAACUGCAAAGUAUGAGAAAUAUGAACCUUUGCAUAUACUCCCACAGACUGUGCAGAUAUAUCCACACAUUUAUGUGUACAGUUAUUAUAUUAAAAGACUGUUACACUUAUAAAAUAUUUUAGAGAAUAAUUUAUGUGGACAGGUUUAGAUAUUCAUUCUUACUCAGAAUGAUAAGCAAGCAGGCUGAAUAUAUUUGAAAAUGUAGUAAAUCAAGUUUUGGUCUUGCUAACACUAAUACACAUUCAUUUAGAUAAAUCUGAUGAGAAUUUUACCCAACCAAUAUAUCUUUAAAAGCUAAUCAAGUGAAUCUCUUUAAUAGCAUCAAGCCUCAUUUGGAAAGUUCACAAUCCAUAAUUAUCUGCUUCUUUGAAAAUGUUUGCUAAAAUUGUAGUUUUGGAACAGAUUAAAGUUCAAAUCUUACAUGUACAUGAAAUAAUUCAUUUGCCCAAACACCCCAAUUUUAGACAUUACUUGCAAAUGAAAAUUACAUCCCACAUGAUUUUAGUAUUAGCUUUUAUAUGAGCACUAAAUAUAAAAUGGUAGUCUGACCUUUAAGAAAAACUGUAUCUAAUAACAAAAUUAAAGAACAGGUUUAAAGAUUUGGUCACUAGUCUUUAUAAAAGGGAAAAAAGAAAACAAAAUCCCUUGCAGUCACAUUCUAUCAUUCUCUUUCAACUAUUCUUUUAGGUUUCUUUCCACUAUAUUUAAUUUUAUUUCAUUAUAUGCAGGAAGGCUAAUAACCAACCAUUUUGAUUCUGUUCAUUUUCCCCCAUUUAGACCAUUUUUCUUACCCUGAUUCAUUUUGUAACCAAAUUCAUUUUAAUUUAAUUUGUUUCAUUAAAGCUAAGGUUUUCCAAUUUUUGAAAUGUAAGAGAGACUAAACAGAGUUACUUUAUCUUGCUAGGUCCAAAGGUCUUGCAUAAUACUCAGAUUUCAAUAGUAGUAUGUAAAUAGCAUGUAUUUUUUUCUCUUGUGGAAAAAGGUGAAUUGGAUUAUUCCAUCAAAUUUUACAUUUUCUAACAAUACUGAUCUUUUCAAAAUCCUGUUUCCGUAAGUGUCAUUUUCCCCUAUGCUCCAGAGAAACUGUCAAAAAAUUAUGGGAAACAAAACCAAAACACUUCUUUCACCAGAAAAUUUUCAUAAAGAAAAUAUCAGAAUGAGAUUGAAGUUCUGAAUCAACAUAUUUCAGGGUUUUACUUAUUUUCUUCUUAUUUGGAUGUGAGUAAUGACGUAGAGAUAGAGAAUUUAUUAUUCUUAGACUCCUGUCUUACCUGGACAAGUUGUUCCUUGAGUAUUUUUUUAUGUUAUAUGACACAUUAGUAUUUCACUACAUUGCCAUCUUCAUUCUUCUCAGAAGCUCAGAGGAAGAGAAAAGAAGCACUCUCAUUUCUCUUCUCCUUUUCUGCAGAUAUUUCUGCAGAUAUAGGCUUGAUAUUUUAGCAACGAGGACCUUAACUUUGCUUCUGAUGACUGCUGGCAAAAGACCCUAGAUAAACAUGCAUAAUAGUCAGCCAGACAGAAAAAUAACCAUUGUGGGCAACAAAAUAAUAGGUGGAACAAAAAAAGGAUUGGGGUUAGCCAUAGCUCUGGUCAUCUGCCUGCUACAUGCAUUGGUUUCUUAAAUGCCCAAAAAAGGUGGUGUCAAAAUUUUAAUUUAGAUUAAGAACAUGACUUAGUAAGUGUAACAGAUUUAGAGAAAUGAUUCACAUGAAAAGGAUGUAACAUCAAAUGCUGCAAACUAUUGGGGAAGGAUAGUGUUAAAAGAGAGAAGCUAUUCCCCACUGUAUCAAGGAUGUGAUUUCAUUCUGAAGUCCAAUAUGCAGAGGAAUUUAGAAGUGAAGAAAGCCUGAGUAAUAACAAAAAGAAGGCACUAAUGCAGCUGGCAAUGUGCUGGGGAUCUACUAUAAACCUUGGAACAGGAAUUAGCUGAACAAGGCUUACUGGUUCUUUCCAACACAGCAUAGUAAUGUUAAUUAAGAAACUGCAUCUUUGGGUUGUGUAACUACAGAACCAGUCUCAAGAUAAAUAGAUACCUUAUUUAUUUAGCUCUCUAUGUUGUUAAAUUAUUUAAUGAACCUUAUUAUUGGUGUUAGAUGAAUAUGAAUUAAUAUACAUUGUAUUCUUGUGACUUUAUAAAUGUGGCAUAUGUUCAAAGCAUGUUCAAUCUAAAGCAUUGCUUCUUUUAGGGCAGCAGACCCCAGUAUGUGGAUGACUGACUUACAUUUAUUUACUAAAUCUACUAGAUAGGGAUUUUUCUUGCCUUAAUACUGAAGUACACAACUCCCAUUUCCCUGACAAACAGUCUCUGAUACUUCAAAAACCUUAGGACUGCCUGACUCAUUCUCUUCUUGUUAAAAGAGACUUAACUACAGGGGCAUCUGCCAGAAGACAAAAUAAGGAAUAGAAUCUAUCUAGCAAGUUCUUGUUACUCAUCAGUGGCAACUUGAUAUUAAAAAACAAACAAACAAAAACAAAAGAAAAAACAGAGAAAAACAAUCUAGUUGAAAAGAGCUGGUUUAGGACAUGAAGGUGAGGGCAAGACAGAGGUGAGACCCUUGGAUAGGAGAUAAAAAAAUAACAAAACAGCAGAUAUCAUCAAGGAACAUCCAGAGAAUGCAAAUGAAAAUAAUCUCCUUCAAAGAUAAAAGAUAUGGAACAAUGGUCAUACUGUUGAAUAGAUUACAAAACUGAACAAGCAUCAAGAAGGUGAUGCUAUAAUAAACAAACAAAUAAAUAAGGAGUACUGUCUGUGGAAAACAUAAAAUAAUGCGUAGGGUUUACUACAGAAGAUUCUAAGACAUUGGUCAGUCAUAUAUAAGAAUACUGUGUUCAGCCUGGGGAAUCCCAGUUUGGGAGAGGCAUAGAUUGAAGAGAAAAAUAAGAGGAGGAAUAGAGGAAUAAGAAUGAAGACAUGCAGAAAAAGUGUAAUCUCAGAUGAGAGACCAAAAAAACCAAUAAAAAUAAACUUGAUCUAACUUGAUCUACGUAGGAAUAGACUGAAGGGAAUCAGGAAAAGCCAUCAUAACAGCUUUCAUCAUAAAAGCUCCUCCAAAGAAAAAGUGUUACCUGUGGCCUUCCUGAAUGGUCCUUUAGAGAUAUGAGGUUUUCCAUGUCUAUGACAGAUAGAACAGGAUUAAACUAUAGCAAAGGUAAUUCAGAUUACAUAAAUAAAAAGUCAUCAUAGCAGUAAAACCCUUGCAUUCAUUUCUUGGAAAUAUCAUAACAAUGCUAGAGGAAUA